rnacentral:rRNA from 1 species
ACAGUCACACAUUAGAUACCCCGGUAGUCCCAGCCCUAAACGAUGCGCGUUAGGUGUAUCGGUGACCACAAGUCACCGAGGUGCCGAAGGGAACCGUGAAACGUGCCGCCUGGGAAGUACGGUCGCAAGGCUGAAACUUAAAGGAAUUGGCGGGGAGCACCACAACGGGUGGAGCCUGCGGUUUAAUUGGACUCAACGCCGGGAAGCUCACCGGAUAAGACAGCGGAAUGAUUGCCGGGCUGAAGACCCUGCAUGACCAGCUG